UACGUAGGUGGCAAGCGUUGUCCGGAAUUAUUGGGCGUAAAGGGCUCGUAGGCGGUUUGUCGCGUCGGGAGUGAAAACCUACAGCUUAACUGUGGGCUUGCUUUCGAUACGGGCAGACUAGAGGUAUGCAGGGGAGAACGGAAUUCCUGGUGUAGCGGUGAAAUGCGUAGAUAUUCGGCGGAACACCAGUGGCGAAGGCGACUCACUGGCCCGAUACUGACGCUGAGGCGCGAAAGCGUGGGGAGCAAACAGG
rnacentral:rRNA from 1 species